CUAUCCAAAACCAACAAACCAACAAAAAAAACUCUCAUUACUUAGAAUAUUAUCAACAUAUGGGGAUGAAAAAAUCAAUGAUAUGGUCACUAAUGGUUCUAGGAAUUGUAGGAUUUGUGACUAUGCAAAAUACUAAUAUUCCUAUGAAAUCAUUGAUUUGUUAUCAAGCCCAAGAUUUAUUGUCACCAUGUCAACCAUUUUUAUUAGGUUGUAGAAAAAAUAUUACAGAAGAAUGUUGUCAAGGUUCUCAAACUUUGGCUAGUCUUGUAAAAAAUAGUACAAUUAAUGAUAUUAAAGAUUUAUGCAAAUGUCUUCAGAAAAUUGGGAAUUCUUCUGUUAUUGAUGUUAAAAAAGGAAGAAAACUUUUCAAGGUUUGUAAGAUCAAGAGAGUUCCUAUUGGUCCACAAGUGGAUUGUGACAGUGUUUGACAAUAUGGACUGGCAAAGAAGCUUUCACAUAUUGAAAUUUGAGAAGAAAGUCAGCCAAGCUAAGAAAUUAUUACUAUUACUUAUUGAAAUGUAUUUCAAUUUAAUUCCUACAUAAGUGUACUGGUAUCUCAAUUGACUUAAGUUUGGUCAAGAAGACUCUUGUUAUCGGUGCUAUAAAAUGAAAUAAAUAUUAUCAGUAUGUCUUAAAUCUC